GUUAAUCUUGGGUCACUCCCCAACCAAGAGAUGGAAAUCUGUAGUCUGCAAAGUUUCAGGAUCCUCACUGUUUCGAGAGUCUUCAAACACUAUGAAAACAGGUAUCGAGAGAGAUUAUGCCAAGCAAUCUAAGGAACCUGAAUCAGAGGAUAGAACCGUAAUGGUCUAUAAAAUCUCAUAUGCAAAUAAGAGGUGUGUAUGGAACCUGGGGUGCAUACAUUAUUCAACACUUGAAUUUAUGUAACUUUCCAACACACCUAGAAUACCCUGAUCUUUAUUCAUUCUACAGAGAAUUCAAACAAGCAAGUCUGUGUCUGGCAUGGAAAUUCAUGGAAGAUUCCUGAAGCUCUGUCUCCUCUUCCCCAGGGGAUAAAGGCAAAGAGAAAUAUUCAGUCAACACACUUACACACAGAAGCUGAGUGGUAGAAGCCAUAGCCGAUUUGUUCCAAUUCCCAGCCUGCUCAUUGUCCCUCAAAAUGAAAAAUAGUCCAUUGCAAGAGGAUAAAUAUCUGUCCUUGUGACUGUGUGGCUACUGAAUGCCUGGUGGGAGCCCUGGAGUUUGAACUGCUGGAAGCGAGCCAAAAUCAGCAGGUCAUCUUAUGACAUAUUACUUACCACUGGGGAGCAGAGCUAAGUCCUCGACUCGGCAACCCUCCCGCCUUUUGCUUUGCUGUUCUAACUGUACACAGUACAAGUUACUCACUUGCAGGUCUCUGCUGCUGCUUCUUCAGUAUGAUGCUCCUAAUAAUGAUACAUUACUGUGCUUUAUGUAUGACAAAGCACAAAGAUUAAACAAAACCGUGAAUAUGA